UUUGAUCCUGGCUCAGAUUGAACGCUGGCGGCAUGCCUAACACAUGCAAGUCGAACGGAAACGAUGGGAGCUUGCUCCCAGGCGUCGAGUGGCGGACGGGUGAGUAAUACUUAGGAAUCUGCCCAUUAGUGGGGGACAACAUUCGGAAACGGAUGCUAAUACCGCAUACGCCCCACGGGGGAAAGCGGAGGACCUUUCGGGGCUUCGCGCUAAUGGAUGAGCCUAAGUCGGAUUAGCUUGUUGGUGAGGUAAAGGCUCACCAAGGCGACGAUCCGUAGCUGGUCUGAGAGGACGAUCAGCCACACUGGGACUGAGACACGGCCCAGACUCCUACGGGAGGCAGCAGUGGGGAAUAUUGGACAAUGGGGGAAACCCUGAUCCAGCAAUGCCGCGUGUGUGAAGAAGGCCUGCGGGUUGUAAAGCACUUUCAGUAGAGAAGAAAAGCUUAGGGUUAAUACCCCUGAGUCUUGACGUUACCUACAGAAGAAGCUCCGGCUAACUCCGUGCCAGCAGCCGCGGUAAUAAGGGCGAAUU
rnacentral:rRNA from 1 species